rnacentral:rRNA from 1 species
GACGAACGCUGGCGGCGUGCUUAACACAUGCAAGUCGAACGGAAAGGCCCUGCUUUUGUGGGGUGCUCGAGUGGCGAACGGGUGAGUAACACGUGAGUAACCUGCCCUUGACUUUGGGAUAACUUCAGGAAACUGGGGCUAAUACCGGAUAGGAGCUACUGCUGCAUGGUGGGGGUUGGAAAGUUUCGGCGGUUGGGGAUGGACUCGCGGCUUAUGCGCUUGUUGGUGGGGUAGUGGCGUACCAAGGCUUUGACGGGUAGCCGGCCUGAGAGGGUGAACGGCCACAUUGGGACUGAGAUACGGCCCAGACUCCUACGGGAGGCAGCAGUGGGGAAUAUUGCACAAUGGGCGGAAGCCUGAUGCAGCAACGCCGCGUGCGGGAUGACGGCCUUCGGGUUGUAAACCGCUUUCGCCUGUGACGAAGCGUGAGUGACGGUAAUGGGUAAAGAAGCACCGGCUAACUACGUG